GUGCCAGCCGCCGCGGUAACACGUAGGGGGCGAGCGUUGUCCGGAAUUACUGGGCGUAAAGGGCGUGUAGGCGGUUUGCCAAGUCAGGUGUGAAAUCUUAAGGCUCAACCUUAAGACUGCGCCUGAAACUGGCAGGCUUGAGGGCAGGAGAGGAGAGCGGAAUUCCCAGUGUAGCGGUGAAAUGCGUAGAUAUUGGGAGGAACACCAGUGGCGAAGGCGGCUCUCUGGACUGUACCUGACGCUGAGGCGCGAAAGCGUGGGGAGCAAACAGGAUUAGAUACCCUGGUAGUCCACGCCGUAAACUAUGGGUGCUAGGUGUUGGAGGUAUCGAACCCUCCAGUGCCGCAGCAAACGCAAUAAGCACCCCGCCUGGGGAGUACGGCCGCAAGGUUGAAACUCAAAGAAAUUGACGG
rnacentral:rRNA from 1 species